rnacentral:misc_RNA from 1 species
GCAAACUUGGUCAUUUAGAGGAAGUAAAAGUCGUAACAAGGUUUCCGUAGGUGAACCUGCGGAAGGAUCAUUAAUGAGAACGUGCCCUUCGGGGUAGAUCUCCCACCCUUUGUAUAUUAUACCUUUGUUGCCUUGGCAGGCCCGUCUUCGGACCGCUGGCUUCGGCUGGCCCGUGCCUGUCAGAGGACCCCAAACUCUUUUGUUAAUAUUGUCUGAGUACUAUUUUAAUAGUUAAAACUUUCAACAACGGAUCUCUUGGUUCUGGCAUCGAUGAAGAACGCAGC